UUUUGGGGUAAUCCAGUUAUCUCUAAUAGUUAAGGUUAUGUCUCCCUUUCAAUUUUUCAUCCUGUUCACCAAUUUUGUACUAAGUGUGAAAUCCCGUGAGAUUUUGUGGGAUUUUAGUUUUAAAAAGUGGGGCGGUGCCCAUUGUUUGGUCAUGAACAAGGAAAUUGUUUGGUCAUGAACAAGGAAGUUGUUUGGUCUCAUGAACAAGGAAGUUCAGGGCUGGCUGUUGCAGUUUCUAGAUGCCUGUACUCUACACUGAAUGGGUAUUCUUAUGGCUUAGAAAUGGGAAGCAAUGAACUGGUGAGUGUUUGUCUUAUUGUUUGGAGCAUGCUAAUGCAAACAUUAGCAUGCUGAACUAAAGCUAAUCCUAUCUUUUGUUGUUGACCUGGUACCAUUGAGGUGAUAUUGUUCAGUAUUUGAAAGAUGUUUGUAUAUUGUCUGAUGGUGCACUAUUUAAUGUUUUAGAAUCAGAUAUUAAUGCCGAAGAGUACUCUAUUUGAAUCAUGUACAUGUAGAUUUUUUCCUAUUGAUUCCAAUUACUUUAAAAAGGAAAUGUUUGGAAUAUUAAUGACUUAAUAUUUACUAUUAAGAGGAAAUGAACUUAUUGUUGGACCUUUCUAUACAGGCCAGGUCCUCAUUUGAUGGCGAGCUACCCACUAGGCCUUUAGGCCAAGGAACCUGGAUAGACUGCUAAAUCUCUAUCUGUGUGAUAGGAGACAUUGUUGCCUGCCCCACCCCAUCCAAGGGACUCAAGUCAACGUUUAAAUCGACUAAGACUAGUACUUUGGACUUUUGGAAUGUUACAACUUGGAAUGUUACGGCGUGUGCAGGAUUUUGGUUUUGACAAAGUUUGUCUGUAUAUAUUGUAAAUAGUCUUCGUAGUAUAAAUCACUUUCUGCACAAA